rnacentral:piRNA from 2 species
UGCUCCCUAAAGAAGUUAAAUGGAUGCUGCA